GACGAACCGAGCGAACGUUAUUCGGAAUCACUGGGCUUAAAGGGCGCGUAGGCGGGCCAUCAAGUCAGGGGUGAAAGCCCCCAGCUCAACUGGGGAAGUGCCUUUGAUACUGGUGGUCUCGAGGGGGAUAGGGGCAUGCGGAACUUCCGGUGGAGCGGUGAAAUGCGUAGAUAUCGGAAGGAACACCGGUGGCGAAAGCGGCGUGCUGGAUCCCUUCUGACGCUGAGGCGCGAAAGCCAGGGG
rnacentral:rRNA from 1 species